rnacentral:rRNA from 1 species
GUGGGGAAUAUUGGACAAUGGGCGCAAGCCUGAUCCAGCCAUGCCGCGUGGGUGAAGAAGGCCUUCGGGUUGUAAAGCCCUUUUGUUGGGAAAGAAAAGCAGUCGGUUAAUACCCGAUUGUUCUGACGGUACCCAAAGAAUAAGCACCGGCUAACUUCGUGCCAGCAGCCGCGGUAAUACGAAGGGUGCAAGCGUUACUCGGAAUUACUGGGCGUAAAGCGUGCGUAGGUGGUUUGUUAAGUCUGAUGUGAAAGCCCUGGGCUCAACCUGGGAAUUGCAUUGGAUACUGGCAGGCUAGAGUGCGGUAGAGGGUAGUGGAAUUCCCGGUGUAGCAGUGAAAUGCGUAGAGAUCGGGAGGAACAUCCGUGGCGAAGGCGACUACCUGGACCAGCACUGACACUGAGGCACGAAAGCGUGGGGAGCAAACAGGAUUAGAAACCCUAGUAGUCC